CUCUUCUUGGUUGUAUAAGAGGUAGUGCCUGCCCACUGAUUUUAUUGAAGGGCCGCGGUAUUUUGACCGUGCAAAGGUAGCAUAAUCAUUAGUUCUUUAAUUGUGAACUGGUAUGAAUGGCUUGACGAAGUGCCAACUGUCUUUUUUGGAUUGUAUUGAAUUUGAUUUUUAGGUAAGAAUACCUAGCUUUUUUUAUGGGACGAGAAGACCCUAUAGAGUUUUAUAGUGAGUUAGCCUUUUGUUGUUUGUUUGUUUUUAUUGGUUUUCCUUUAUUUUGUUGGGGUGAUAGGAAGAUAGGUACAACUCUUCUUUGAUGUGGGACACUAAUUUGUGUGUAGUUGAUCCUUUAUUAUUGAUUAUAAGAUUAAAUUACC
rnacentral:rRNA from 1 species